rnacentral:rRNA from 1 species
UACGAAGGGGGCUAGCGUUGCUCGGAAUCACUGGGCGUAAAGGGUGCGUAGGCGGGUCUUUAAGUCAGGGGUGAAAUCCUGGAGCUCAACUCCAGAACUGCCUUUGAUACUGAAGGUCUUGAGUUCGGGAGAGGUGAGUGGAACUGCGAGUGUAGAGGUGAAAUUCGUAGAUAUUCGCAAGAACACCAGUGGCGAAGGCGGCUCACUGGCCCGAUACUGACACUGAGAGACGAAAGCUAGGGGAGCGAAUGGG